rnacentral:rRNA from 1 species
UACGUAGGGGGCUAGCGUUGUCCGGAAUCAUUGGGCGUAAAGAGCGCGUAGGCGGCCAGAUAAGUCCGGUGUGAAAGUCACAGGCUCAACCUGUGAAUGCCGCUGGAAACUGUCUGGCUAGAGUCCGGAAGGGGCGAGUGGAAUUCCUGGUGUAGCGGUGAAAUGCGCAGAUAUCAGGAGGAACACCAAUGGCGAAGGCAGCUCGCUGGGACGGUAACUGACGCUGAGGCGCGAAAGCGUGGGGAGCAAACAGG